rnacentral:rRNA from 1 species
ACGGAAUACGUGGGAAUCUGCCCAGUCGUGGGGGAUAACGUAGGGAAACUUACGCUAAUACCGCAUGCGCCCUUCGGGGAAAGCCGGGGACCUUCGGGCCUGGCGCGAUUGGAUGAGCCCACGUCGGAUUAGCUAGUUGGCGGGUAAAGGCCCACCAAGGCGACGAUCCGUAGCUGGUCUGAGAGGAUGAUCAGCCACACUGGAACCUGAGACACGGUCCAGACUCCUACGGGAGGCAGCAGUAGGGAAUAUUGGACAAUGGGCGCAAGCCUGAUCCAGCCAUGCCGCGUGAGUGAAGAAGGCCCUCGGGUUGUAAAGCUCUUUUGUCCGGAAAGAAAAGCGCCGGGUUAAUACCCUGGUGUCCUGACGGUACCGGAAGAAUAAGCACCGGCUAACUUCGUG